rnacentral:lncRNA from 1 species
UACAAACAGACGUCUCUGUCCAGAUUUGGACAGAUUCAGACUCUAUAGUUCAAACAGCUGUAACUUGGUCCCUAGACCACCAAAAAGGGUGCUCCAAAAUUUGUUGGAAAGCUUGAGAAAGGUACUACAAUUCUUCUAUAAUUACUAAGGGCUGAUUCUCAGUUUAAUUUAUUCAAACAGGGCAAUUUUCGAAAUCAGUACAACAUUUGGACAAAUUCUGAAACUGGACUUGGAAAAUUCAUAACUCCUAAACUAUUAGACCUAUGUCUGUCAAAUUUUAACACAAGCGAGAUAAUGAACAGUACAUGCAGUGCAAAAUAUCAACUAUCUUGUUUUAAUUCAUACUUAGCUCCUACACAUUAUUUGACUCGUUCUCUAAAUCAUCUUAUUAGAUUAACUUGCUUGACGCCUAAAUAAACAGCAUAUAGCAUAGAAAUCUACAGUACAACUUGAACACCUAAGAACUUAAAGUACUCGCAUAUAUACCUCCUCGAAUUAUUCUCUGACUUCAACCGAAAUCGAAGCAUCGACACUACUUGCUUCCAAAUAAAUUUUUGGACAGCGACGACACUUGUAUAGGACCUCUAGCCGAUCAACACAACAUUUAACCACUCAAUGGCAUACAUAUUUAUCGACGCACUCUUCACACCAUAAACUACAUUUUAACUUAAUCCUUACUACCGAACGACGCAUCUCCUUUAUUUUUCUCAUCACCCCACACAUACAAACACAUCAUCAACUAAAUCAAAUGAGUAAAAUACACAUCAAACAACCUGGCCGAUCGGAUUUGAGUUGUGCAUGUGCUAUCCAUGGACUUGGGAUUUUCGUCGAACACACGAUGCACGAAGCACGACAUCGACAACGAGCUGCAAGCAACGACAUAUACUAGUUUUAAAAUUUUAUCAAACACAAGGGACUCAAGAGCAGCAAGGGCAGCGAGGUUUCACCGGAGUUUGUGACGUCGCGCAGGGGCUGUGCAGAUCGAGUUGGAGCUCGCUGCGGUAUUUCAUCGAUCACGUCAAGGGCGCGACACGAAGGAGUGUCGUGACUGCUGCUGCUCCAUGGCCUAGGACGAGAGCAAGCACCAGGAAGUCGCACGAUGUAUAGGAAGCAGCAUCCCGGCGCCCUGAGGAGACCCAGCGAGACGAGGUUGCAGGGGCGAGCCCCAUGUCGACGCCAUGGAGAACGAGGAGAGUGGCUCGUGAGAGAGAGAUGGGACAGGGAGCUGAGAUGUUGAGGAGAUGGGGCGCUGACCUGCUAUAGGCAGGAGAGGUCGCCGUCCAUGGUUGAAGCUGGAGCUAGGGCGAGCUCCCGUGGAGAUGAGGGUGCCAGGGAGGGGCGGCAUCCAUGGCUGGAAAGAGAGAUGGAGGCUGGGCGAAAUCAAGGGAGGAGAGGGACUGGGAGUGGCUGCAGAGGCACACAGAAGAAGAGCGCCGAGAGGGAGAGACCAUGGCGGGGAAGGCCGACGACCAUGGAGGACGAAGAAUGGAGGGAGGGCGCCGUGAAGGAGAUGAGACGAUGAGUGCUAUGGAGGAGGGCUCGACCGGCUGGGCGAUGCUGGCUACCAGGACUGGAGGGCACGUCGCAUAUUUGGGAACAACGGCUGGCAAGCAAAAUGCGUAGAGAAGAAUGGAUCAAAUGCACAUUUCUGGAAAAGGAUGCGUACUUGAGAAAUCCUGAGUAAGCACUGGGAGCUUCCGGAAGCAUGUGUCACCACUCACACGCACAAAGAAAUGUGUGUGAUUUCUCUGAGAGGAUAAAGGAGAGGACUCGUGGAUUGAAGAUGACGGCUGUAGAAGCUAGGAAAUGUCCAGCAUUUUCACCGGAUAAGGAGAAGAUGGAAAACGGUGGGGAUAAGCAAAUGAGAUUUUUUCCUCUUUAUUUUCAAUACAUUUACAAAAUAUAAUUAUUUCUUAGUUCUUGAAUUAGGGAUUUAUAAAUAUCUAAAAUUGUCGAACCAAAAAUUCAUUGGUCUACGUUUUUUUUGUUUCCACAGAUUGAUGAAACAGAUGAACUAAAUUGGUCGGUUAUUAAUUUGGUAUGGUUUAUCUUGCACAACCUGCUCUAAUUGACUUGCUACAGAAUUCUAAUAAGUUUAGAGAACCAGAUUUGAUUUCAAUGGUUAGAGUUCGGACAUGGUGUAAAUGGACCGAAUCAAUGACAUCGACUUUGAUAUCUUAAGCGAUAUUUAAUUUAGUCGAACCUAGACGAAUUUCGCCGUUAUUUAAACAUUUGACUAGAAAACAAAGCGAUUAAUAAUUUUACACCUUGUUUUUCUUAGAUAUUCAACGUGAUCAAAUUAUAAAAAGAAUCAAACUCUUUCCGAAAACCUAUUCAUUUAAUAAACAAAUUCGAACAGCAUGGACUCAACACCUUGAAAGAUUUUAAAGUCCAAAAUUUCUCUAAAAUGUUUGGACAACUUAGAUAAACGGAGACAGAUACGAUAUCAAAAUCGUGAAUGACAAAGAUGAUUAGAACUUAGUGACCUUUAUAUUCACUGAUAUCUCGUGCUUAAAUCCAUACUCGUUGUCGCAUGAGAAAUAAACACCAGGGGUGUUACAAUCCUCCCUCCUUAAAGGAAUCUCGUCCCGAGAUUCGGAACGAAAGACUUUUAAGAGUAGAGAGACAUGUAUCUCAUGUCCAUACCAGUGAUAGCAUAAGCUAGUUCCAAGCGAAGACGAUUAUUUCAAGAUCUCAAAUGGGUGUAGCAUGUAUCAUAUUUAGCAUGUAUCAUAUUUAUGCUAAUUAGAGAUGUCACAAUAGAGACGAUGAUUGGCAGAAGAACACCUAAGGUUCCAUGUGUGCAGUUGCCACUAAGAUCAAGAGAAAGGAGUCCCCACAUGAAAAAGGUGAUUUUACCACGACUAGAUACAGAUAGGUUUCGAUUUUUUUACGAAGACUUCGGAACUGGUAAAAAUUUUAAUUAAGGAAUACAUCAGAGUUAUAUACUCUUUUGAUCCAACAGUGAUGGCAUAUGUUGUUUGAUUUUUUUAGCAAACAACACAAAAAUCGUUUCAAGGGAAAAGUCCACGAAAGAUAACAUAUUAAUGUAGUUCCAUAAUGGAUCAUGACCAAAGACCUCGAUACCAGCAUGCGCCAAGCAGCAUAACCUUGCGUGUACAUUCACAAGGGGCUCUCAGUUUCGCGGCGGCACCAAAAAUCAUUAAUCGUGACACCAUUACCGAACUCGCACCAAUAAUGAAUCUCACGGGGUAAGAACUAGAGUAUGCAGAGAUGACAUAUUGAUAUAGUCUAAUAAUGGAUUACAACUACUAACCAUGAUAACAGCGCGUGCCGAGCAGCACAACCAUGUGUGUACAUUCACAGGAGGCCCUCGGUCUCGUCGCGGCACCAUCAGUUUUAGUCAUAACACCAUUGCCAGACGUAAUCAAUAAGAAAUCUCACGCGGCACAAAUAUACUGGGCAAGAAUGACAAUAUACAAAAAAGACUCCACCUAUAAGAAUGAUUACAAGUAGAGAGCCAAAUAGAUCAUGGCCUGAUGAAAGGAACAAUAUAUGACCAAAACAUAAUUUGAUUGAUGAAGGAGUACGAUGGGAGAUUGUUAAUUCAGCCCCAACAUAUUUCUAUGCCCAUUGCAGAGAUUAUCAAAAAUUUCGUUUGUACGAGUUUGGCCACGGAGUAGGAAUCGAUAAUUCAAACUCAUGCAUGUUUUGAAGAUUUAGAGGGACUUUGAAGAAAUGACAAAAUUAUGAAUUAGAUCUCAUACAAUUUCACAUGUUGAGAUGAUGAGGACAUGACUUGGUCUAAUUGCUAGAACUCCAAUAAUCUUGUGAAGAAAAUGAUCUUCACACAAGACGACACCUAGGAUAGGUUGUCAAGAAAUUAAUACACGGUUAGAUCAAGGUUCACUAAACAGGAAACAAACUACCUGCACUCUACUAGCACACAAGCACGAAAACAAACCCAAGUUGCACUAGCGGUCAGACUAAGAAGAAUCACAGGCCACAUAAACACAUGUCUAAAGGACACAACAAACAAAGCUAGAAAUUGCUUAUAGAACAGUAAUACUUCAUACAGUUUCCAAUUAUUUAUUAUCGGAAUAAAGAUGAGAAAAGCAUGUUCGUUCACAAUCACCAAUUAUUAGAAUAAAGGUGAGGGAAGCAUUUUUGUGCGCAAACAACAAACACAAUGCAACAAUCAGGAUGCAUGCUCGUCCUAUUCGUCCUCACGAAUUUUGCCAACUUAUUAUGGCAAUAGCGUUCUAUAUCGGUGGCAUAUCUACGUCUCUCUCGGUAUAUUGCUAGUCGUCAUCUACACAUACGAGUUCGAAGUUAGUGUACCUGCAGAAAAUUCCAUCACAGCCCAUUUCCCAAUGAUGCAAUUCACACAUGACAGUUUAUCACAGUUUAUACUCCAUAUAUUUCUAUAUGGAGGCCAGCUUCUCAUUAAGCGCCGAGCCACGCAUAGGCGCCGCUGCCACACUUUAACCAUAGGGCAGCUCAUUAUGGUAACUCACCUUCUUACCUGAGCGUAGGUGCGUCGUUGCAAAUACAUUACACUUCUCAGUAUUCCCAUGUCUGUAUACCCAUACACAUCCAUGGGGUACUGAAUCCCGGAAAAGUAAUUACUCCACAUCGCAGUCUUCAUAUAUACAUAUGUGUAACAUGUAUAUAAUCAAGCGCCACAAUUAAACACUCCCCUAGACCGACGUUUGUUCGGUCAUGCUCUCACAACUCACGUUACCUGAGCGUCGAUCCAUUCAAGACUGAAUGGCCUCAAAAUUAACAAUACACAUGUAUGCAUUACCCUUCCCAGGUUGUGGGUUAGUAAUAUGAACUAAGCCACCUAGUAGUCCUUAACUUAGGGCUUAUAGAGGAUGUCGCUAGCAUUAUAGUUUUUCAAAUCUGUUUUGUCAAAACCAAACAAUGUGUUUGGUUGAAAAUAGAUUUUCCAAAACCAAAAUUUUGUUUUGAAAAUACGUAUGUGACUGUAUCAUACUUAAUCAAGCUCCGAUACCAGCUGUCGCAGAACCUCCCAAGUUAUCGGGCCCACAUGCACCUGUCCUUGUCUCAAAGACCUCAGACAGCUAUGCGUGUGCACCAAACAACUUAACAGGAUCUGUCCGAGUGCCCCGAGGACCCCGGAUAAACGACUUACCGCCAAGAUCGCAGGAUUAAGUAAACACAAAUCACACACCAACAUUUGCAGCGGAAAUAAAUUCUUUAUUGCAAAAUGAUUACAUGUUACAAUAAGUUUACAUUAGACAAUUAUCGGAGUGAUUACAAAAGAAAGUGAUUCAAAGGAAUUACAAUUUAAAAUGUAUAAAAUAUUUACAGGUUUUAAAAUACAUGCUAGCUUAAGUGACAAUCCUCAAUAAAGAAGCUAAAGAUGGGAUAUACUUAUAUAAGAAGGCCGAGCCCACCGGCACUUAGCACCAUCCACAACAGAACAAACUUAUAAUCCUGAAAAAAAACAACAGGGAAUAAAACCCUGAGUACGCAAUUACUCAGCAAGACUUACCCGACUAAGAAAAGACUCUCAAGGAUAUGCUAGUUUGUCGGGAAUCAAGGUAAAGCUUAUCAAAUUUCAAAGACUCAUUUUCGCAGAAAAGCUUACUAGUAGUGGAUCCUUAUGCAAAAAUUUUACUUCACAAAUUAAGUACUUUUCCUGAAUCUAGAUUUGCCUAAUCUAGAGCAUUCACUUGUCCUACACUAGCUUUAUUUUAGCAGCAUUUAGUUUCACUUGUUAUCUACGAUGAGGGUCGAAGAUCCAGUCUUCAUAUCCGAGAAGUUCGGCGAUCCGAAUCGAUUAAUACCCAGCUGGGGAUCUCCAACCACACGACAUAUGUAGCACUUAACCCUUGCAUAUGUCAACUCGCCACCGGGUUUCUCAAGACCAGAACGGGUCCCCGCCAACCAAGAGCUCAGUACCCCACCAUCCAGCCUCUUGCCAGGUGGAUACACGAUACUCUCGCCAUCUCUCCACUCCCAUUGCGGGCCAGCCUUUCUGGUAUUGGUCCAGCCGAGGCUAAGCUUACCCAUGAUGAGGCAUGUGGCCAGUUAAAGGGUCCUAGAUCAGCAGGCCAACAAUCGGAACGGUCCUUAAUCGACACAGACGGGCGACCUUUCCUGCUCAACGUCUGGUCUCAUUUUAUUUAAACCAUUUCCCAAUCUUUGGUACCUGACAGAGGUACUUUUUUCUGGAUGUUGACUCCAUCAUGGCCAUAUGGAUUCACCAUCCCAAUUUCUUUUUCACAACAAUUUCCCAUAUCCCGUGUAACACGUCAUCUUUUUAAAAAGAACAGCUUUUAAUUAUCUAAGCAGGGCUAAGCAUCUUUAGUUCUCUUUUAUAAACAGGAAUCAAGGAAUAGUAAUCAAAUUCCAAGGAAUGGUAAUGCAUCAGUUGUUUCAUCACUCAACUCCUAUCACCUAAUGCAACAUAUAAGUGAUAAAAGUUUUAUAACAACAAGGAGGUGGCAAAUGCACCGGGGCUUGCCUGGGAUACACUAGGUUAGUGUGGUUAUAUGACGUCCGCUUGGUGAGCAUCAACAAUCCUGACACUUGAUCAAGUCGUCCAUAUCGAGAUGGGUCCAUCAAAGCCACCUUGUGAUCCAUCCUGAUCCAUGCCCUCCAAUUCACAUAAUCAUCUAGCGUACCUAUUGGAGAUGCAUAGUGCAUAUGAGCAUGAGCAAGAACACAAAAUAGAUAAUCUAUACUAAAGAGGAUAAAUACUUAAAACAAGUCAUCACAAUUCCUAUGAGCACACUAUGUGAAGAUAUUACUAAGUACCACAAGCGCAUCUUUUACACUUAAGUAUAUCUAACUCAAGCAUCGAGCAAUCAUAAGACUACACACAAGCCUUAAGCUUAUGGACUAGAGCACACUGCCAACGGACUAACACUAUUAUUAGCACUAAUGAACAACCCAUUAUUUAUAAUUAUAAGGACACAAGAACAAUGUUCUAUGUUGUAAGUAUCAUGACCAAUGGGUUAUAAAAAAUUGAGUUACAUGAUCAUACCUAUAAAAACAAAACCAGUCAACUACAGUCACCAUUCUAGACAAUAAACCUAAUUGAGAAUAUGCCCAAGGCAGUCAACACAACCAAACACUUAUAACCCAUUGAUGAUUUUUGUUACACUAUAUUAGCCAAUACAAUUAGCUCAAUCCACUACAGCCAUAAUAGGUGCAAAUCUGAAAAUUAGCCGCCCAACUUCAUUUAUCAAGACAAGAACUAACUAAAUCUAGGUGUCCAUACAAAAGAAACUCCAAGGAAUCAUUUUAAUACUUGCUGAUUUUGGACAGCAAAACAUCAGCUAUUUGUUUAGCUCAUAACUCACAAAAUAUUCAUCCUAAAAUGAUAAACUAGGACUUUCUGGAAAGCUUAUAAAGUCCUCUACACCUUUGGUAUUAUCAUCACAACAAGAUUCGACCUUUAGAAAGGUCAAACAGAACUAAACAUAAACUCUGUCCAGAUUUGGACAUAAUUCGAUUACUUACUUCAAAAAUUCAUAACUGGAGUUUCAGACAUCCAAAUAAGGUGAUCCUAGACUUUUUAGAAAGCUAGUAGAAUUGUCUAUAAUUCAUCUAUAAAUAUUUCAUGUUAAUUCAAUACAUAUCAAAGUCAGUUAAUACAAACAGACGUCUCUGUCCAGAUUUGGACAGAUUCAGACUCUAUAGUUCAAACAGCUGUAACUUGGUCCCUAGACCACCAAAAAGGGUGCUCCAAAAUUUGUUGGAAAGCUUGAGAAAGGUACUACAAUUCUUCUAUAAUUACUAAGGGCUGAUUCUCAGUUUAAUUUAUUCAAACAGGGCAAUUUUCGAAAUCAGUACAACAUUUGGACAAAUUCUGAAACUGGACUUGGAAAAU